AGGGAAAACCAACUGAACCAACAC
rnacentral:siRNA from 1 species